AACGAACGCUGGCGGCAUGCCUAACACAUGCAAGUCGAACGAGACCUUCGGGUCUAGUGGCGCACGGGUGCGUAACGCGUGGGAAUCUGCCCUUUGCUUCGGAAUAACAGUUAGAAAUGACUGCUAAUACCGGAUGAUGUCUUCGGACCAAAGAUUUAUCGGCAAAGGAUGAGCCCGCGUAGGAUUAGGUAGUUGGUGGGGUAAAGGCCUACCAAGCCGACGAUCCUUAGCUGGUCUGAGAGGAUGAUCAGCCACACUGGGACUGAGACACGGCCCAAACUCCUACGGGAGGCAGCAGUGGGGAAUAUUGGACAAUGGGCGAAAGGACCUGAUCCAGCAAUGCCGCGUGAGUGAUGAAGGCCUUAGGGUUGUAAAGCUCUUUACCCGUACGAUGAUAAUGACAGUA
rnacentral:rRNA from 1 species